UGCCAUAUAAUUCAAAGGUGAGAAUGCGCAACUUAUAAUUGCGACAUCGUGGUUCGAGUCCACGUAUGGCAACCA
rnacentral:tRNA from 1 species